rnacentral:rRNA from 1 species
CCUACGGGAGGCAGCAGUGAGGAAUAUUGGACAAUGGGCGCAAGCCUGAUCCAGCCAUGCCGCGUGCAGGAUGACGGUCCUAUGGAUUGUAAACUGCUUUUGUACAGGAAGAAACACCUCUACGUGUAGAGACUUGACGGUACUGUAAGAAUAAGGAUCGGCUAACUCCGUGCCAGCAGCCGCGGUAAUACGGAGGAUCCAAGCGUUAUCCGGAAUCAUUGGGUUUAAAGGGUCCGUAGGCGGUUUAGUAAGUCAGUGGUGAAAGCCCAUCGCUCAACGGUGGAACGGCCAUUGAUACUGCUAAACUUGAAUUAUUAGGAAGUAACUAGAAUAUGUAGUGUAGCGGUGAAAUGCUUAGAGAUUACAUGGAAUACCAAUUGCGAAGGCAGGUUACUACUAAUGGAUUGACGCUGAUGGACGAAAGCGUGGGUAGCGAACAGGAUUAGAUACCCUGGUAGUCCACGCCGUAAACGAUGGAUACUAGCUGUUGGGAAGNAUACUCAGUGNGUAGAGAAGUAGAGUAAGUAUACCACCGUCGGGAGGUACGGUUCGUCGAAGAAGUAGAAACGUACGAAAGUAAGUAAGUUAGGUACGUACGUAGAGUACGACGACGGACGACGACGACGGAGGGAGGGAGG